AAUGAACGUUGGCGGCGUGGAUUAGGCAUGCAAGUCGAGCGAGAAGCUCCCUUCGGGGAGUGGACAGCGGCGAAAGGGAGAGUAACGCGUAGGUACGUACCUUAAGGUCCGGGACAGAGGUGGGAAACUGCCAGUAAUACCGGAUAAUCUGUCAGCAGCAAAGGUGUGAUUCCGCCUUGAGAGCGACCUGCGUCCUAUUAGGUAGUUGGUGGGUAACGGCCUACCAAGCCGAAGAUGGGUACCGGGUGUGAGAGCAUGGCCCGGCUCACUGGGACUGAGACACUGCCCAGACACCUACGGGUGGCUGCAGUCGAGAA
rnacentral:rRNA from 1 species